rnacentral:rRNA from 1 species
UACAGAGGGGGCAAGCGUUGUUCGGAAUUACUGGGCGUAAAGGGCGCGUAGGUGGCCUUCUAAGUCGAACGUGAAAUCCCUGGGCUCAACCCAGGAACUGCGUCCGAGACUGGGAGGCUUGAAUCCGGGAGAGGGAUGCGGAAUUCCAGGUGUAGCGGUGAAAUGCGUAGAUAUCUGGAGGAACACCGGUGGCGAAGGCGGCAUCCUGGACCGGUAUUGACACUGAGGCGCGAAAGCGUGGGGAGCAAACAGG